CUCGCCUGCAUGAAGUUGGAAUUGCUAGUAAUCGCGAAUCAGAAUGUCGCGGUGAAUACGUUCCCGGGCCUUGUACACACCGCCCGUCACACCAUGAGAGCCGAUAACACCCGAAGCCUGUGAGCUAACCGUAAGGGGGCAGCAGUCGAAGGUGGGGUUGGUGAUUGGGGUGAAGUCGUAACAAGGUACC
rnacentral:rRNA from 1 species